GCCAGAAUGAUCAAUUUAAUGUGGGCCUCUCAGGCCUUUUUUCAGUUCCCCUCCAUUGUUGAGCUCUCCAACAUCUGAAAACCCAUCACCUGUGCCAAGGACUUUCAUGCAUACAUAUAUUUUAUUUAAUCUUAAGCAUUCCACAGUCAAAUCUUGAAUUUUUGGAAGGAGAUUGGGACCCUGAAAAAGAACAGGGUCUGGCAUAUUGAACAGCUCAUUUAUAUCAUUCG